CAGUCGCCGCGGUAAUACGUAGGUGGCGAGCGUUGUCCGGAAUUAUUGGGCGUAAAGGGAGCGCAGGCGGACAUAUAAGUCCAUCUUAAGAGUGCGGGGCUCAACCCCGUGAGGGGAUGGAAACUGUAUGCCUUGAGUGCAGGAGAGGAAAGCGGAAUUCCCAGUGUAGCGGUGAAAUGCGUAGAUAUUGGGAGGAACACCAGUGGCGAAGGCGGCUUUCUGGACUGCAACUGACGCUGAGGCUCGAAAGCCAGGGGAGCGAACGGGAUUAGAUACCCGCGUAGUCCCUGUCUCUUAUACC
rnacentral:rRNA from 1 species